UGAAAGACAAAGUUCUGUGAAUGAUGUGUACGCCUUUGACUCAGUUCCUGACUCGAGAUAGAGGAGGAACAGUCUAGACGGCGAGCCGAGGCUUAAGGUCACGCUGCAGGAACGGGAGACAUGGAGAUUCUCCUCGUUUCUUCCUGUCCGUCAGGCUCCUGUGGGAUUGUUUGACACAACGUGGCAUACUUUUUUUCUGUUCAUUUUCAUUUUUUACUUUAAUUUUUUUUUUUUUUUUUUUAAACCAGUCAUGAGGUAAAAGGCUACUUAUAUGACAUUUCAGCCAUUUGGGAGGACUUGGUUGCUUGAUUGGCGCUGGUCUCUGAUAUGCAUAGCCGGCACACAGAGGUGAAUCCAUCCUGAGACGACAUCUGAAGAUCGAAAUCAUUUCAGGUAAUGUCUUCCUGUGACUUUCAACCUUUUCCAGGGCUAUGUUGUUAUCCAUCAUGAGUUACCUAGCCAUGUAGCCAUUUUACAUCAAUCAUUUAAUUCCCAGUUUUUUCACAAUAUUAUUUGGAAAAAAGCUACUCUUUUGUCCUUCAAAUAAAGGGGCUGCCAUAAACAAUUACGCCAAAGUUAAAUAAAUGAAUUGUACGGAUUUCAUUUAGUUUAUUAAAAAAAAUAAUUCACUAUGUUCAUUGGUCAUUUCUGUUCCCAAGAACAUGGUUGAAGAAAGAUGUGUAAUUUGCGAAAUGAUGAUCAAUGUUCCCAUUUUCAUUCAUGUCAAACGUACCAAUAAAUCUUUAAAGUACUGCAUAUUGCUCUACUGUGAUAAUUUACACAUCUGCUGUGACACAAAGCAUCUCAAUGUAUUUAGAAUGAUGCAUUUGUUUAUUUGGGAAAUUUUGAUGGCACUCAUAUCAGCCUUUGCUUGGUGUUAUUGAGUGUGCAUGUGCGACUGUAUUUGUAUAUGAUUAAGUUAGUAUGCGUGUGUGUGUG